UCCCUGGUGGCUCAGAGGAGAAAGCAUCUGCCUGCAAUGCAGGAGGCCCUGGGUUCGAUCCCUGGGUUGGGAA
rnacentral:tRNA from 1 species